rnacentral:sRNA from 10 species
AGUCCUUCUUAGCCAUCUUUAGCUCCCGGUUUUUAAGGACUAUCUAUACUCAAAAUGCUUC